rnacentral:rRNA from 1 species
UAUCUCUGUAGAGUCUGCAUAUCAAUAAGCGGAGGAAAAGAAACUAACUAAGGAUUCCCUCAGUAACGGCGAGUGAAGCGGGAAGAGCUCAAAUUUGAAAUCUUCAAGGGUUCUACCUUUACGAAUUGUAGUUUAAAGAAGUGUUUUCUGUUGAGGUUUUGGUAAAAGUUCUUUGGAAUAGGACAUCAUAGAGGGUGAGAAUCCCGUAUUUGACCAUUACUUUCCAACUUUGUGAUACACUUUCAAGGAGUCGGAUUGUUUGGGAAUGCAGUCCAAAAUGGGUGGUAAAUUUCAUCUAAAGCUAAAUAUUGGCGAGAGACCGAUAGCGAACAAGUACCGUGAGGGAAAGAUGAAAAGAACUUUGAAAAGAGAGUUAAACAGUACGUGAAAUUGUCAAAAGGGAAGCGUUUGACACCAGUGUUGUUUUUCUGAAAAUCAAUUAAAGAACUGUUUAUGCUAAGCUGUUUAGACUUUAUCAGCUAAUCUGUUUAGUUUUGAGCUUUUCUUUAAUGCACUUUUCAGUUAACAAGUCAACAUCAAUUUCUUUUGCUGUAAAAAAGCUUGAGGAAGGUGGCUUGAGAUUCGUCUUAAGUGUUUAUAGCCUCUUGCCUAUGCAGUCGGAGAGAUUGAGGUCUGCAGCGUAGAUCCUUCGGGGCUAAAUGCAUUUGUGCUAAGUUAUAGCCUUUCAUAGACAACUUGUUGGCUAUGAUCAGUCAUGUAGCUUGCUCGCUUAUGCUAUUUUACCUACGCUUAGGAUGUUGACGAUCAGCUGAGCGCG